GAUCAUGGCUCAGGAUGAACGCUGGCGGCGUGCUUAACACAUGCAAGUCGAACGAAGCAAUUAAGCGGAAGUUUCGGAUGGAAGCUUAAUGACUAGUGGCGGACGGGUGAGUAACGCGUGGGUAACCUGCCUUAUACUGGGGGAUAACAGUUGGAAACGACUGCUAAUACCGCAUAAUAAAGUUGGUCGCAUGAUCUACUUUUGAAAUAUUUAUAGGUAUAAGAUGGACCCGCGUCUGAUUAGCUAGUUGGUGAGGUAACUGCUCACCAAGGCGACGAUCAGUAGCCGGCUUGAGAGAGUGACCGGCCACAUUGGGACUGAGACACGGCCCAAACUCCUACGGGAGGCAGCAGUGGGGAAUAUUGCACAAUGGGGGAAACCCUGAUGCAGCGACGCCGCGUGAGUGAAGAAGUAUUUCGGUAUGUAAAGCUCUAUCAGCGGGGAAGAAAAUGACGGUACCUGACUAAGAAGCCCCGGCUAACUACGUGCCAGCAGCUGC
rnacentral:rRNA from 1 species